AUUGAACGCUGGCGGCAGGCCUAACACAUGCAAGUCGAGCGGUUGACGGGAGCUUGCUCCCUGAUUCAGCGGCGGACGGGUGAGUAAUGCCUAGGAAUCUGCCUAUUAGUGGGGGACAACGUUUCGAAAGGAACGCUAAUACCGCAUACGUCCUACGGGAGAAAGCAGGGGACCUUCGGGCCUUGCGCUAAUAGAUGAGCCUAGGUCGGAUUAGCUUGUUGGUGAGGUAAUGGCUCACCAAGGCGACGAUCCGUAACUGGUCUGAGAGGAUGAUCAGUCACACUGGAACUGAGACACGGUCCAGACUCCUACGGGAGGCAGCAGUGGGGAAUAUUGGACAAUGGGCGAAAGCCUGAUCCAGCCAUGCCGCGUGUGUGAAGAAGGUCUUCGGAUUGUAAAGCACUUUAAGUUGGGAGGAAGGGUUGUAGAUUAAUACUCUGCAAUUUUGACGUUACCGACAGAAUAAGCACCGGCUAACUCUGUGCCAGCCGCCGCCGUAAUAC
rnacentral:rRNA from 1 species